AGAGUUUGAUCAUGGCUCAGGACGAACGCUGGCGGCGUGCUUAACACAUGCAAGUCGAACGGAACUUGUACUUAGCACUCAAUGUUUUUAGCAGGAAGUAGAGUUGGCGACAGCGUAGAGCUGCGAACUUUGUUCGCACACGCCAAUAAAGCAAACACAAGAGGAAAGAUUUGAGUACCAGUUAGUAAGGAAUGGUUGCAGCACUGCGAACAAAGUUCGCAUACGCCAAUAAAAAAAGCUAACACAGGGAAGAGAAAGAACAUUGAGAGCUGAGUACAAGUUUAGUGGCGGACGGGUGAGUAACGCGUGGGCAACCUACCCAUAAGAGGGGGAUAACAGCUAGAAACGGCUGCUAAUACCGCAUAAGCUUUUUGAGACACAUGUUUUAGAAAGUAAAGGAGGCGUAAGCUUCCGCUUAUGGAUGGGCCCGCGUCUGAUUAGCUAGUUGGUAGGGUAGCGGCCUACCAAGGCAACGAUCAGUAGCCGGCCUGAGAGGGUGGACGGCCACACUGGGACUGAGAACGGCCCAGACUCCUACGGGAGGCAGCAGUGGGGAAUAUUGCGCAAUGGGGGAAACCCUGACGCAGCGACGCCGCGUGAGCGAAGAAGGCCUUCGGGUUGUAAAGCUCUGUUGUAAGGGACGAAAGAUCAAGGGAGUAACUGCCCUUGAAGUGACGGUACCUUACCAGCAAGCCCCGGCUAACUACGUGCCAGCAGCCGCGGUAAGACGUAUGGGGCGGGCGUUGUCCGGAAUUACUGGGCGUAAAGAGCACGUAGCGGAUGUAUAAGUCAGGUGUGAAAGACCGCAGCCUAACUGCGGGGUUGCACUUGAAACUGU
rnacentral:rRNA from 1 species